UCGACGAAUCUAAUACAAACAGGAUUGCCAGGGCUAAAGUAAUGGUCUUAACGGGGAAUGAAUAGAAAACGUAGAGCUGCUUAGCCCCUGAAGAAUCCUUCAGUCAGUGAUAAUCUAGCUUGGGAGAAUCAGUAUUAAACUACAAUCAUAGUUAUUCUAGGAAAGCUCCGGUCUUGGUUUGAAAUCUCUUUUAACCAGAAGAGGGAUUCUCAGCAGGCAGCUUUGACAUUUGCAGCUUCAGCAGAUUUGCGGGAUAUGAACAUUGCCAAUAACAAGCAGCAUUUCAUGUUCAUCCUUAAUUGCCUUCAAACUGAUUGGCUUGCUGGCUUAUUCCAGACAAUGGGGGAUGAAUGAAUUUCAGAGUUCCAGACCCAGUUGCUUGCUACAGUCCAGAUGUAGCAAUCAUGCACAAAGAGAGAACAUUUGUACUUGAGGGCCAGAAAAUGUUUGAGAAGCUCACAGAAGACAUGUCUACACUUGACACAGUGAUAAGUACCCUUGAUAACUGCUUACAACCAAAGAAAUGUGUGAUGAUUGAAUGAUAUACAUUGUGUGAGAGAUACCCAGGAAACGGUGAGCCUAUUAAACAAAA